rnacentral:lncRNA from 1 species
GCUUUGCCUUGACUCAACAUCAUAUGAGCCCACGAGACAAUGUUGAACCCGUUCUCAUGCGAUGAGAAAGAAGGAUCCAGAGCUCGUUUGUCCGAUAUCAGCUCCAAGAGGACUAUCCCAUAGCUGUAAACAUCUGCUUUCUCCGAGACUCGGCAUGUCAUUGCGUACUCUGGAGCUACAUAUCCGAAUGUUCCAGCCACACCAGUUGUGACAUGAGACUGCGAAGUUCCCAAGAGUUUCGAGAGUCCGAAAUCAGAUAGAUAAGCGUUGUAGUUGUUGUCCAAGAGUAUGUUACUCGGUUUGAUAUCUCUAUGCAAGACUUUAGGAGAACACUGUUCGUGAAGAUAGGAGAGAGCACGCGCUACAUCAAGAGCAAUCUUGUGAAGUACCUUCCACUCAAUAGCAGCUUUCGAUCUCUCUUUAAUGAAAUCUUGAAGGUUUCCUCCAGAUAAGUAGUUGUAAAUAAGAAACAUCUCGGUUUCGCUCGCAUGGUAACCGAUUAACAUAACAAGAUUCGGAUGCCUAACCAUCUCAAGAGCAGAGAUCUCAGCAUGAAACUGUUGAUCACCUUGAAACCUCCCAACAGAGAGUCUUUUAACAGCAAACACAUUCGUUGGAGACACCUCUGCUUUAUAAGUCGAACCGAAACCGCCGUGACCGAUACAGUUAGAGUUACUAAAGUAACCAGUAGCUCUAACAAUGAUCUCAUACGUCAGAGGAAUACCAAUGUCAACAAACACUUUAAUCUCCUUGAUCUCAUCUACCUGAACCUGAGAGUUUCGUUUCCAUUUCCUCGUGUAGAUGAACAAGAUCACAAGAACAAGAAGCACAAAGACAAUCACUGAAGCUGACACAAUAGAAGCUAUCUCAAUCGGAUACAAUCCAGAUUUACCAGGAGAAUCAUCAUCAGCUGAGCUUGGACCAAUUUCAUCUUCAUCCUCAAAACUCAUAAGUUUCCUAAGAACAACAUUAUCAACAACCCUAAUUCCACCGAUAAAGUUGUUACCUUUAAGAUCAAGAAUCUCUAAUUUCUCCAACCCCCAAAUCUCCUUUGGAAUCUCACCUCUAAGAUCAUUAAAAGACAGAGAUAAAACCCUAAUUUCAGACAAAUCUCCAACAACAGGAGAGAUUACACCACCAAGUCUUCUUUUACUUGAAGAACAAGAAGACAAAUCUGGGAGAUGAAGAACACCACUACCUUCAAGCUCAUCACAGCCUCUGAGAAUUAAAGAAACGACUCUCGAAUCAGAGUUGCAAGAGACACCGUACCAAGAACAAUGGUUUGAUGAGCUGUCGGAAACCCAGCUAGACAGAACUCCAUUUGGAUCCAAGAAACUACUCUUCAACUUCAACAGAGCAGCUUCGUCGUGGAGACCACCACCACUCUCGGUUAAAAGUUUCCGAGAAAACGAAAACAUAAACAGAUUAAACAGCAAGAAGACCAAACCCAGAAGUUUCAUUUUUCUUCUUUUUCUUCACAAGAGAAAGAGAAAGAGACGACGGCAAAAUGAACAAAGAAAAUCAACAAAACCCUAAAAUAAAUCUCUUUUUUCACAAAUUUUUUUGAUCUCUCCCUCUCUCUCUCUCUUCCUUCGCUCUCGAAAUCGAAAAUUUUCAAGUUGCAAAAGAAGAAAGUUUCUUUACUCA